rnacentral:rRNA from 1 species
GAUGAACGCUGGCGGCGUGCCUAAUACAUGCAAGUAGAACGCUGAAGGAAGGAGCUUGCUCUUUCCGGAUGAGUUGCGAACGGGUGAGUAACGCGUAGGUAACCUGCCUGGUAGCGGGGGAUAACUAUUGGAAACGAUAGCUAAUACCGCAUAACAGUAGAUGUUGCAUGAUAUCUACUUAAAAGGUGCAAUUGCACCACUACCAGAUGGACCUGCGUUGUAUUAGCUAGUUGGUGAAGUAACGGCUCACCAAGGCGACGAUACAUAACCGAACUGAGAGGGGGAUCGGCCCAACUGGGAACGAGACACGGCCCAGACUCCUACGGGAGGGAGCAGUAGGGAAUCUUCGGCAAUGGACGGAAGUCUGACCGAGCAACGCCGGGGGAGUGAAGAAGGUUUUCGGAUCGUAAAGCUCUGUUGUAAGAGAAGAACGAGUGUGAGAGUGGAAAGUUCACACUGUGACGGUAUCUUACCAGAAAGGGACGGCUAACUACGUG